AUUGAACGCUGGCGGCAUGCCUUACACAUGCAAGUCGAACGGCAGCACGGGAGCAAUCCUGGUGGCGAGUGGCGAACGGGUGAGUAAUAUAUCGGAACGUGCCCAGUCGUGGGGAUAACGUAGCGAAAGCUACGCUAAUACCGCAUACGAUCUAUGGAUGAAAGCGGGGGAUCGCAAGACCUCGCGCGAUUGGAGCGGCCGAUAUCAGAUUAGGUAGUUGGUGAGGUAAAGGCUCGCCAAGCCGACGAUCUGUAGCUGGUCUGAGAGGACGACCAGCCACACUGGGACUGAGACACGGCCCAGACUCCUACGGGAGGCAGCAGUGGGGAAUUUUGGACAAUGGGCGCAAGCCUGAUCCAGCAAUGCCGCGUGCAGGAUGAAGGCCUUCGGUGUAAC
rnacentral:rRNA from 1 species